rnacentral:lncRNA from 1 species
AGGAGGAGGCUAACACGUCGAACACAGUGGUGUCAGGUAAUCUCAUCAUUGGGUGUUCAGAUGUGUAUGCUUUGAUGGACCCCGGUGCUUCUCAUUCCUUUAUUGCUUCGAGAGCCAUAGAGCGAUUGGGUUUGAUCAGUUCUGAGUUAGAGUAUCCUCUCUGGGUCAGUGGACCUAGAUGUGACCCAUCAGUGGCAGUGUCAGUCUGUCGUUUCAGUCCAGUAUUCAUAGAGGGUAGAUGCCUUCCAGCUGACCUUGUGGUUCUAGACUUGAC